rnacentral:snoRNA from 1 species
AAGGCUAUACUUUCAGGGAUAAUUUCUAUAGUUCGUCACUAGAGAAGUUUCUCUGAAUGUGUAGAGCACAAGAAACCACGAGGAGGAGGAGAAGAUGCAGGAUUCUGUCCUAAAUGUGAAGCCAGCUCUUGGUGUUGCUUCAACUGCCAAUUGUUAUUAAUGAUAGUUCUUCUUUCCCACUGGGAGAAUGGAAAGGAGAGGAUGCAGUCUUUGUGGU